rnacentral:rRNA from 1 species
GGGCCUGCACAAGCGGUGGAGUAUGUGGCUUAAUUCGAUGCAACGCGAAGAACCUUACCUGGCCUUGACAUGCAUCUCUAAGUGUGUGAAAGCACAUGACCCCUCGGGGAAUUUGCACAGGUGCUGCAUGGCUGUCGUCAGCUCGUGUCGUGAGAUGUUGGGUUAAGUCCCGCAACGAGCGCAACCCACGUCUUUAGUUGCCAGCAUUUAGUUGGGCACUCUAGAGAGACUGCCGGUGAUAAGCUGGAGGAAGGUGGGGAUGACGUCAAGUCCUCAUGGCCCUUACGUGUUGGGCUACACACGUGCUACAAUGGUAUCUACAACAGGAAGCAAAACUGCGAAGUUAAGCAAAUCCCUAAAAGAUACCUCAGUUCGGAUUGCACUCUGCAACUCGAGUGCAUGAAGCUGGAAUUACUAGUAAUCG